UACAGGGGGUGCAAACGUUGCUCGGAAUUAUUGGGCGUAAAGCGCGCGUAGGCGGCUACUUAAGUCGGAUGUGAAAGCCCUUGGCUCAACUGAGGAAGUGCACCCGAAACUGAGUGGCUUGAGUACUAAAGAGGGUCGCGGAAUUCCCGGUGUAGAGGUGAAAUUCAUAGAUAUCGGGAGGAACACCAGUGGCGAAGGCGGCGACCUGGGCCAAUACUGACGCUGAGGUGCGAAAGCGUGGGGAGCAAACAGG
rnacentral:rRNA from 1 species